rnacentral:rRNA from 1 species
UACGUAGGGUGCAAGCGUUGUCCGGAAUUAUUGGGCGUAAAGAGCUCGUAGGCGGUCUGUCGCGUCGGCUGUGAAAACUCGGGGCUCAACCCCGAGCCUGCAGUCGAUACGGGCAGACUAGAGUGCUGUAGGGGAGACUGGAAUUCCUGGUGUAGCGGUGAAAUGCGCGAGAUAUCAGGGAGGGAACACCCGGUGGGCGAAAG